GACGAACGCUGGCGGCGUGCUUAACACAUGCAAGUCGAACGGAAAGGCCUCUUUCGGGGGGUACUCGAGUGGCGAACGGGUGAGUAACACGUGAGUAACCUGCCCUUGACUUUGGGAUAACUUCAGGAAACUGGGGCUAAUACCGGAUAGGAGCUCCUGCUGCAUGGUGGGGGUUGGAAAGUUUCGGCGGUUGGGGAUGGACUCGCGGCUUAUCAGCUUGUUGGUGGGGUAGUGGCUUACCAAGGCUUUGACGGGUAGCCGGCCUGAGAGGGUGACCGGCCACAUUGGGACUGAGAUACGGCCCAGACUCCUACGGGAGGCAGAAGGGGGGAAUAUUGCACAAUGGGUGGAAGCCUGAUGCAGCAACGCCGUGUGCGGGAUGACGGCCUUCGGGUUGUAAACCGCUUUCGCUCAUGACGAAGCUUUGUGUGACGGUAGUGGGUAAAGAAGCACCGGCUAACUACGUG
rnacentral:rRNA from 1 species